CAGCCGGUAGUCUAGCCCGGUCAAGGAUGCGGGCCUCAUAACCGCAGGGUUAGGCCAGUCGAGCCCGUGACCCGGGUUCAAAUCCCGGCCGGGGCACCA
rnacentral:tRNA from 1 species